rnacentral:rRNA from 1 species
UGCCCAGACUCCUACGGGAGGCAGCAGUGAGGAAUAUUGGUCAAUGGGCGCGAGCCUGAACCAGCCAAGUCGCGUGAGGGAUGACGGUCCUACGGAUUGUAAACAUCUUUUGCCGGGGAGCAAGCGUGCGUUCGUGAACGCACGUCGAGAGUACCCGGAGAAAAAGCAUCGGCUAACUCCGUGCCAGCAGCCGCGGGAAUACGGAGGAUGCGAGCGUUAUCCGGAUUUAUUGGGUUUAAAGGGUGCGUAGGCGGACAGUCAAGUCAGCGGUAAAAAUGCGGUGCUCAACGCCGUACAGCCGUUGAAACUGGCAGUCUUGAGUGGGCGAGAAGUAUGCGGAAUGCGUGGUGUAGCGGUGAAAUGCAUAGAUAUCACGCAGAACUCCGAUUGCGAAGGCAGCAUACCGGCGCCCGACUGACGCUGAGUCACGAAAGCGUGGGUAUCGAACAGGAUUAGAUACCCCGGUA